AGGCUGCCAGCCAGGCUGGGAAAGCGGUGGUAGCUGGUUGGGUUGCUGGGGCUCGGUUGUUGUAGUCGCGAUGUUCUUCUCCGAGGCCAGAGCCAGGUCGCGGACGUGGGAAGCCAGUCCCUCGGAACACAGGAAGUGGGUGGAAGUAUUUAAAGCAUGUGAUGAAGAUCACAAAGGAUAUCUCAGCAGAGAGGACUUUAAAACUGCUGUUGUAAUGCUGUUUGGGUACAAGCCCUCCAAGCAGCCUCUAGAAGACCAGCAUUCUCGUGAUUAUGGAGGCCCCUCUGUCUUUUCUGUGACGGGAGCAAUGCUGACCUCGGUUUCCUGGACCCAUUCCGACUCAGGAGCCUUCACGUAAAUGGGUCCAGUCAUGCCUCCCAGUAAGAAGCCAGAAAGCUCAGGAAUUAGUGUCUCCAGUGGACUGAGUCAGUGUUACGGGGGCAGCGGUUUCUCCAAGGCCCUUCAGGAAGACGAUGACCUCGACUUUUCUCUGCCUGACAUCCGAUUAGAAGAGGGGGCCAUG
rnacentral:lncRNA from 10 species